rnacentral:tRNA from 1 species
GUCCCUAUCGUCUAGCCUGGCCCGGGACACCGGCCUUUCACGCCGGCGACGGGGGUUCGAAUCCCCCUGGGGACGCCA